rnacentral:rRNA from 1 species
GAUGGACGCUGGCGGCGUGCCUAAUACAUGCAAGUCGAGCGAACAGACGAGGAGCUUGCUCCUCUGACGUUAGCGGCGGACGGGUGAGUAACACGUGGAUAACCUACCUAUAAGACUGGGAUAACUUCGGGAAACCGGAGCUAAUACCGGAUAAUAUAUUGAACCGCAUGGUUCAAUAGUCAAAGACGGUUUUGCUGUCACUUAUAGAUGGAUCCGCGCCGCAUUAGCUAGUUGGUAAGGUAACGGCUUACCAAGGCAACGAUGCGUAGCCGACCUGAGAGGGUGAUCGGCCACACUGGAACUGAGACACGGUCCAGACUCCUACGGGAGGCAGCAGUAGGGAAUCUUCCGCAAUGGGCGAAAGCUUGACGGAGCAACGCCGCGUGAGUGAUGAAGGUCUUCGGAUCGUAAAACUCUGUUAUUAGGGAAGAACAAAUGUGUAAGUAACUAUGCACGUCUUGACGGUACCUAAUCAGAAAGCCACGGCUAACUACGUG